ACUGCAGUCGAACGAUGAACCACUUCGGUGGGGAUUAGUGGCGAACGGGUGAGUAACACGUGGGCAAUCUGCCCUGCACUCUGGGACAAGCCCUGGAAACGGGGUCUAAUACCGGAUACUGACCCGCUUGGGCAUCCAAGCGGUUCGAAAGCUCCGGCGGUGCAGGAUGAGCCCGCGGCCUAUCAGCUUGUUGGUGAGGUAAUGGCUCACCAAGGCGACGACGGGUAGCCGGCCUGAGAGGGCGACCGGCCACACUGGGACUGAGACACGGCCCAGACUCCUACGGGAGGCAGCAGUGGGGAAUAUUGCACAAUGGGCGAAAGCCUGAUGCAGCGACGCCGCGUGAGGGAUGACGGCCUUCGGGUUGUAAACCUCUUUCAGCAGGGAAGAAGCGAAAGUGACGGUACCUGCAGAAGAAGCGCCGGCUAACUACGUGCCAGCAGCCGCGGUAAUACGUAGGGCGCGAGCGUUGUCCGGAAUUAUUGGGCGUAAAGAGCUCGUAGGCGGCUUGUCACGUCGGUUGUGAAAGCCCGGGGCUUAACCCCGGGUCUGCAGUCGAUACGGGCAGGCUAGAGUUCGGUAGGGGAGAUCGGAAUUCCUGGUGUAGCGGUGAAAUGCUCAGAUAUCAGGAGGAACACCGGUGGCGCAGGCGGACCUCUG
rnacentral:rRNA from 2 species